rnacentral:rRNA from 1 species
AUUGAACGCUGGCGGCAGGCCUAAUACAUGCAAGUCGAGCGAAGCGGGGACGGGUGAGUAACACGUGGAUGACCUCCUAUAAGACUGGGAUAACUUCGGGAAACCGGAGCUAAACCGGAUCCUUAUAGAUGGAUCCGCGCUGCAUUAGCUAGUUGGUAAGGUAACGGCUUACCAAGGCAACGAUGCAUAGCCGACCGGAGAGGGUGGUCGGCCACACUGGAACGGAGACCCGGUCCAGACUCCUACGGAGGGAAGCAGUAGGGAAUCUUCCGAAAGGGGCGAAAGCCUGACGGAGCAACGCCGCGUGAGUGAUGAAGGUCUUCGGAUCGUAAAACUCUGUUAUUAGGGAAGCGGUACCUAAUCAGAAAGCCACGGCUAACUACGUGCCAGCAGCCGCGGGAAUUC